ensembl:lncRNA
CCCCAUCACGCGCCUCACAGUCCCCCCCGCGGGGCUCACGAGCUGAUGAGACCCGGGUGCGACGCGACCUUUGACCUCAUCGCUGUCGCGUGAACGAACGAUCUUAACGCCGCUUCGCCUUUUCCUUCCGCCGAACCCGCCGCGGCUGCAGGACGUUUACAAGUUGUCAGGGAGCUGCUGCUGCCGUGGUACGUCACCUCGGUGGAUCCCCUCCUCGUGCUCAAUAUAUCUUCUGUCUCCCCCCCCCCCCCCCCCCCCCGCCCGCCUUCCCUUCCCACCCUCCUCCCCGCCGCAUAUGGGAUUCACAUUUGGCCGCGCUGAGCAUUUCCUUAAUGUGAUGUUAUGAUACAUCAUCUGAAGCCGUUUACUCCCUGUCACCACCCCUCGUGUGGACACAAGCUGACGGAGGAGCGGCGUCCAGAUUCUGUCCAGCCUGCCGCUGGUGUGUCAUAAGUCUUCAGCCUGUCCUGCUGCUGGCUAUCGAAGGUGUGUGUGUGUGUGUGUGUGUGGGAACAGAAGGUGAGAAAUUUGGGGGUCAGCCCGGGUCCUUCAGGUAAUUGUGCUUCUUAAACUUCUGACCCACUAAGCCGUACUUAGUGUGGCGCUCGCUCCCCUUAUUUCCCCCGAGAGUUUUGACUCUGCAUACCAGGACGUGUGUGUGUGUGUGUGUGUGUGUGUGUGUUUCUGAUACAAUGAGUGUCUGAGCACAUGUGGUCAGCUUCACACGAGCUCAUCCUUCCUCAUCUGCUCUGGCAUGGCGCUCACUGUCCUGCCCACACAGUCUGACCGCUCCGUCUCUAAAACAAUCAGCCUAUAAAGAUGUAGUCGUUUGUCACGUAGGUGAAAAUAGGUUAUUUUGACAGGUUGGUCUCUGUGAGGCACGUUACAGGAAUGCGCGCUCAGGCACCGGACGAUCUGGAUUAUUCCCAUGACUCAAUUUAGGGGAUUUUACCUUCGCCGUCGGUGUGCGUUUUAAUGUGAUCGAACUCAAGCCACCAAACC